UCUUCGGAUGCUGACGAGUGGCGAACGGGUGAGUAAUACAUCGGAACGUGCCCGAGAGUGGGGGAUAACGAAGCGAAAGCUUUGCUAAUACCGCAUACGAUCUCAGGAUGAAAGCAGGGGACCGCAAGGCCUUGCGCUCACGGAGCGGCCGAUGGCAGAUUAGGUAGUUGGUGGGAUAAAAGCUUACCAAGCCGACGAUCUGUAGCUGGUCUGAGAGGACGACCAGCCACACUGGGACUGAGACACGGCCCAGACUCCUACGGGAGGCAGCAGUGGGGAAUUUUGGACAAUGGGCGCAAGCCUGAUCCAGCCAUGCCGCGUGCAGGAUGAAGGCCUUCGGGUUGUAAACUGCUUUUGUACGGAACGAAAAGACUCUGGUUAAUACCUGGGGUCCAUGACGGUACCGUAAGAAUAAGCACCGGCUAACUACGUGCCAGCAGCCGCGGUAAUACGUAGGGUGCGAGCGUUAAUCGGAAUUACUGGGCGUAAAGCGUGCGCAGGCGGUUAUGUAAGACAGAUGUGAAAUCCCCGGGCUCAACCUGGGAACUGCAUUUGUGACUGCAUAGCUAGAGUACGGCAGAGGGGGAUGGAAUUCCGCGUGUAGCAGUGAAAUGCGUAGAUAUGCGGAGGAACACCGAUGGCGAAGG
rnacentral:rRNA from 1 species